GCUUAACCAACUGAGCCACCCAGGCGCCCUUUGUCUCUCUUUCUCUUAGCAAAGCAAGCUUGCAUCUUUUUAGCAGCCGCCUGCACUUAUCUUUUGAGCUUUGAACCAUGCCCCAGUGGAUAAGUAAUUUCAUUUAGGUAAACAGUUUCCAGAAAUAGAUUCAAACUGCAAGCAAACAGCUUGUUUGCGAUAACAGGCCCUGCCUGCGUCUGAUGUCCGAGCCUAAUGAUCUCACGUCUGCUGAUGCCGGUGGCUGACUUCCCUUCUUUGUCAGCUGUCCCGCAGAUGCCUUGCCUUCUCUCAAGAUGAACCCCUUCUUGCCUCCCUGAUUGACACGUGCACCUCAUCCCAUUUGGCAUUUCUGUGUCUGUCCCAG